ensembl:lncRNA
CCCCAAAUUUUGGUCUAAUUCACCCCAAACUUCAGGCCUUGUUGACCCCCAACUUCAGGCCUCCAUGACCCCAAAUUUUGGCCUUGUUGGUGUCAACCUUUGGGCUUCGUUGACCUCAACUACUGGACCCCAACUUUUACCCCUCAUGCUCCCCGAUUUUUACCCUCGUUCUCCCCAACUUUUACCCUCAUUCUCCCUGAUUUUUACCCUCAUUCUCCCCAACUUUUACCCCUCGUUCUCCCUAACUUUUACCCUCAUUCUCCCCAACUUUUACCCUCGUUCUCCCCGACUUUUGCCUNNNNNNNNNNNNNNNNNNNNNNNNNNNNNNNNNNNNNNACCCCAAAUUUUGGCCUUGUUCACCCCAAUCUUUGACCCUCCCAUUCUCCCCAACUUUUACCCCUCAUGCUCCCUAAUUUUUGCCCUCAUUCUCCCCGACUUUUGCCUUCAUUCUCCCCAACUUUUACCCUCGUUCUCCCCGACUUUUGCCUUCAUUCUCCCCAACUUUUACCCUCGUUCUCCCCGCUUUUUGCCCUCAUCCUCCCCAACCCUCCCCAACCUCCCCAACUUCUUCUACCCUCGCCAUCCCCUCUUCUCACCCACCAAAAACCCCAAAUCCCUUUUCCUUCCUUCCUCCCUCAGAAGCGACGCUCGAACCGCCAAGUCAAACGCAAGAAAUACACCGAGGAUUUAGACAUCAAGAUCACUGAUGAUGAGGAAGAUGAAGAGCUGGACGUUACGGGGCCCGUGCGUGCAGAGCAGCCCCCUGCCCCACAACCCCCCGCCCCAGAACCGGAGCCAGAGGGCGAGACGUUGCCCUCCAUGCAAUUUUUUGUGGUAGGGGGAUCUUCCUCUUCAUCCUUCACCUUCGUCACCCUCAGGGUUGCUUAUUUUUCCUCUGUUUUAUCUCAAUUUCCUUCUUCUUUUCCAGGAGAAUCCCAGCGAGGAGGACGCGGCCAUCGUGGACAAAGUCCUGUCCAUGAGGGUGGUUAAAAAGGAGGUGAGGGAAACAAUUUACGACCCCAUAAAUUGGGGAAGGGGCUUUUGGCAGCUGUUAACAUCUCCUUUUUUGUUCCUUUUUGGCAGCUCCCGUCGGGGCAGUUGACAGAAUCAGAGGAGUUCUUCGUCAAAUAUAAGAAUUAGUGAGUGCUCUGUGGCUCCUUGUUGGACCACAGGAGGUUCUCUGGCUCUCCUGGCGCUCUACGCAUCCUUUUGGGGUCUUCACGUUGCUUUAGGAUCCCCUAAAUCCCUUUGGGGUCCCCCACAUCCCUUUAGGGUCCUCCCUGUUGAGAUUCUCCACGUUCCUUUUGGGAUCCUCCACGUCCCUUUGGCCUCUUGCUUUCUCAGUGUCCCUUUUCUGGGGUUUCUCCUCAUCCUUUUGGGGUCUUCACAUUGCUUUAGGACCUUCCACAUCCCUUUAGGGUCCCUCACAUCACUUUAGGGUUCUCCGUUUUAGGGUCCUCCACGUCCCUUUGGGCUCUUGCUUUCUCAGUGUCCCUUUUCUGGGGUUUCUCCCCAUCCUUUUGGGGUCUUCACAUUGCUUUAGGACCUCCCACAUCCCUUUGGGGUCCCCCACAUCCCUUUAGGGUUCUCCCUUUUGGGAUCCUCCACGUCCCUUUGGCC